UUUAGUCAUAGCAUGUAUAAGAAUAAUCUGUCUGGCAUUGUGAAAGUGUGAAUGGCUCUUUAAUUCAGUUUUAGUUUCGUUGAUGGUACUCUGCUACUCGGAUAACGGUAGUAAUUUUAGAGAUAAUAAGUGCACAAACUCCCGACUGGCCCCCUUCGGGGGUGGUUGGAAGGGACGUAUUUAUUGGAUAAAAGGCCGAUGCGGGCUUGUCCGGUGUUGCGGUGAAUCAUGGUAACUUGUCGAAUCGCACGGCCCUUUGCGCUGGCGAUGUUUCAUUCAAAUUUUCCCCCUCUCAACUUUUGGUGGUAGGAUAGGGGCCUCCCCUUAAAGAAGGGGGGCGGAGAAUUUGGGUUAGACUCCGGAGGGUGAACC
rnacentral:rRNA from 1 species